GCAACCCCAGGUCAGGCUGGGCC
rnacentral:rRNA from 1 species